UAGGGAAUCUUCCGCAAUGGACGCAAGUCUGACGGAGCAACGCCGCGUGAGUGAAGAAGGAUUUCGGUUCGUAAAACUCUGUUGUUAGAGAAGAACAGCGCAUAGAGUAACUGCUAUGCGUGUGACGGUAUCUAACCAGAAAGCCACGGCUAACUACGUGCCAGCAGCCGCGGUAAUACGUAGGUGGCAAGCGUUGUCCGGAUUUAUUUGGCGUAAAGCGAGCGCAGGCGGUUAGAUAAGUCUGAAGUUAAAGGCAGUGGCUCAACCAUUGUAGGCUUUGGAAACUGUUUAACUUGAGUGCAGAAGGGGAGAGUGGAAUUCCAUGUGUAGCGGUGAAAUGCGUAGAUAUAUGGAGGAACACCGGUGGCGAAAGCGGCUCUCUGGUCUGUAACUGACGCUGAGGCUCGAAAGCGUGGGGAGCGAACAGG
rnacentral:rRNA from 1 species